CAAAUCUGCACUCUCUUUCUCUGUUACCCAUCUCGUUCUUCUUCUCUUUGAACAAAAAAGUUUUUCUCCUCUAAUUAUUUAUCACCAAUGGAGCUUAAUCACCACCCUCAUCUCAAUAUCAAAACCUUGUAUCAGCAGAAAUCAAAAGCAAACCCUUUUUCUGUAACCCUAAAUCUAGUUUUUUUGAUGCCUGAAAUCCUAGGGUUUGAGUAAUCGAAAGAUGAAAAUAUGACUUAAGUCAACUCAAUGUCAACUGUGAUUUAGUUUUUACUUGAGAUUAUUGUUAUUUGAUUAAACUAGAUUUGAUUGGUAUUGUUUAAAUCGAUCUCAAGAUAUAGAUUCAUCACCAACGACAUCAGUAGCAUUCCUUGCAGAUCUUUGGACAUCUAUGAGAAUUAUAAUCUUUUUAAAAAAACAAGAGAGUAUGUGAUCUGCAUUUCUCGGAAAUGGUGGAAAAUUUCAUUUCUAAGGUGGUGUAUAUUGUGUUUAGCAGGGAUAAAAGGGCGCCGAUUUUGUACUCGAGUUUGGCUCUUCUCAAGUUCAUUCAAUCUUUUAGCUGUAAUAUAACUUAUACAAUUAAUAUUACCAGGUUUAGUUAAUUUUUUGUGUUUAAACCUGUGAGAGGUGACCGUAACAAACUGCUAUGCACGUCCCUAUAUCUUUUGUGGUAGUUGUAGGUUGAACUUCGAACUGUAGAUAGGUUGGUGAAGGGUAGUACAACGUGCUCUGAAUGGUUAUAAUUCAUUUCAAUUGAAGUCAAGGCACAUCUUUUCUGGAGAAGUUAAUGGAGUUGUUGGCAGUGACAGUUAUAAAGUGAAAGAUGACAGACCUUCGAGAAUAAAAGUAUAAUGUUCAUCAUAUACAGAUGAUCUUGUAUCUUCAACUUACACAAGUGCAGCAAGCAGCUGCCUGCUCACAAAUAUUCUUCCAGGUUCAAAAGAGUCUGUCUUUAACAACAAAUAUUGGAGUAGUAUAAAGGUUUGU